CUGAAACCGGAAAUCCCCCCAGUUUGUUUACCUGUUUGUUUACCUGUGUUUAAGUGUUUGUUUACCUGGGGUCUGUUUCAUGAAGCAGGUUUAACAAACUCUGAGUUUCUUCCUCAACAGUUCCUCAAUAGUUGAUCUAUUCUGAGAUAGAAAACUCUGAGUUUUCGGUUUCACAACGGCUGGUUUGAGUUGGUUUAAUUAACUCGGAGUAGUUUCACUCGGAGUUACGCGCGUGCACCGCAAGUCUGAAAAGACAGCAUCAAUGGAACCCCGAUUCGACGAGUCACCAUGGAAACGGGGAAGCGAAAGGCUGCGUUUUUGAACUGGAAGUUUUUAACGCGCUCAUAUGGCGAGUUUGGACACGUUUUUAGAAAGAAGUGCAACACCGCUGCAGCUGUAAAAGAGAGAGAGACGGCGUGGAGAACAGCCCGGAUCAAUGCAGCAUGGCUGGACAGCAGCAGGAUGGUUCCUCAGCUUCCACUGCACAGACUGACACAGUGAGAUGGAUGUUCAGGAAACACCAGAGCUUCAUUCUGUGGAAUUCAUGUGCAACUGUAGAAUUUAAUGUUCUCUAUGUAUUCCCAGUUAUCAGUAAAACAGAUUUACAAACUGCAUUUACUGAGAAAAAUCCAAAAAACAGAUUAGGAGGGCAGAUCUGGAAAUAGAAAGACUGGAGCACAAGUUAGAGGUGGUGAUGGUCACAGGUGAAUUAUGUUAACUACUGGAACAUGAACUGAACUAUCUUUUAUUUGUAGGAAAUAAAGAAGAGCAAAUGAAAUGUG